AUUGAACGCUAGCGGGAUGCUUUACACAUGCAAGUCGAACGGCAGCGCGGACUUCGGUUUGGCGGCGAGUGGCGAACGGGUUAGUAAUGUAUCGGAACGUGCCCAGUAGCGGGGGAUAACUACGCGAAAGCGUAGCUAAUACCGCAUACGCCCUACGGGGGAAAGCAGGGGAUCGUAAGAUCUUGCACUAUUGGACCGUUCGAUAUCGGAUUAGCUAGUUGGUGAGGUAACGGCUCACCAAGGCGACGAUCCGUAGCUGGUUUGAGAGGACGAGCAGCCACACUGGGACUGAGACACGGCCCAGACUCCUACGGGAGGCAGCAGUGGGGAAUUUUGGACAAUGGGGGCAAACCUGAUCCAGCCAUCCCGCGUGUGGGAUGAAGGCCUUCGGGUUGUAAAGCACUUUUGGCAGGAAAGAAACGUCGCGGGCUAAUACCCCGUGGAACUGACGGUACCUGAAGAAUAAGCACCGGCUAACUACGUG
rnacentral:rRNA from 1 species